CUGAGGGGAAAGUGUGUGUCCGUGCAUCUUUCACUCAUUACUCCACUUUUCAGAUAACUGUGGAUGAUGUGAUCCAUGGAAAUAUCCCGACCGUGGCGGGCGACUGUUGGGAGACAACGUUUGCAGCCAGCUGAAGCGUCAAAAGUUUUGGUGCGGAGAAGUCCACCUGAGCGAUCGUGACUGACCCCACCACCUCCUUCUCCAGUGGAUUGGAAAAAAAGAUCAGACCAGAGAGUUAAGUAAGAGCCAGCACCUCCUGAUCCACUCAGCUCCUUCCUCCUCGCCGCGCUCAGUGUGAGUGAAGUGCGAGACAAAGUAAUCUUCAGAUACAUGGGGGCCAUCACUGGUUUUAGGAUCUAUCACCGUUUUGUGGAGGUAUUUAUCAAGUUUUGUGUCUUAAUUUGACUUGUUU